rnacentral:rRNA from 1 species
AUUGAACGCUGGCGGCAGGCCUAACACAUGCAAGUCGAACGGUAACAGGAAUAGCUUGCUAUUCGCUGACGAGUGGCGGACGGGUGAGUAAUGCUUGGGAACUUGCCUUUGCGAGGGGGAUAACAGUUGGAAACGACUGCUAAUACCGCAUAAUGUCUACGGACCAAACGGGGCUUAGGCUCCGGCGCAAAGAGAGGCCCAAGUGAGAUUAGCUAGUUGGUAAGGUAAAGGCUUACCAAGGCAACGAUCUCUAGCUGUUCUGAGAGGAAGAUCAGCCACACUGGAACUGAGACACGGUCCAGACUCCUACGGGAGGCAGCAGUGGGGAAUAUUGCACAAUGGGGGAAACCCUGAUGCAGCCAUGCCGCGUGUGUGAAGAAGGCCUUCGGGUUGUAAAGCACUUUCAGUUGUGAGGAAAAGUUAGUAGUUAAUACCUGCUAGCCGUGACGUUAACAACAGAAGAAGCACCGGCUAACUCCGUGCCAGCAGCCGCGGUAAUACGGAGGGUGCGAGCGUUAAUCGGAAUUACUGGGCGUAAAGCGCACGCAGGCGGUUUGUUAAGCUAGAUGUGAAAGCCCCGGGCUCAACCUGGGAUGGUCAUUUAGAACUGGCAGACUAGAGUCUUGGAGAGGGGAGUGGAAUUCCAGGUGUAGCGGUGAAAUGCGUAGAUAUCUGGAGGAACAUCAGUGGCGAAGGCGACUCCCUGGCCAAAGACUGACGCUCAUGUGCGAAAGUGUGGGUAGCGAACAGGAUUAGAUACCCUGGUAGUCCACACCGUAAACGCUGUCUACUAGCUGUUUGUGNCUUUAAGNCGUGAGUAGCGAAGCUAACGCGNUAAGUAGACCGCCUGGGGAGUACGGCCGCAAGGUUAAAACUCAAAUGAAUUGACGGGGGCCCGCACAAGCGGUGGAGCAUGUGGUUUAAUUCGAUGCAACGCGAAGAACCUUACCUACACUUGACAUGCAGAGAACUUUCCAGAGAUGGAUUGGUGCCUUCGGGAACUCUGACACAGGUGCUGCAUGGCUGUCGUCAGCUCGUGUCGUGAGAUGUUGGGGUUAAGUCCCGCAACGAGCGCAACCCUUGUCCUUAGUUGCCAGCAUUCAGUU